GCAACAGGAGGGGGAGGGCGUGCUGGAGGAAGGAGGAGGUUUUAGAAACUUUGGUAACCGGGAACCUAAUGCACCUUUAGGAAUGAAUCAGUGUGCAUAUUGUAGGGAGGAUGAACAUUGGAAAAAGGAUUGCCCUAAACUGCAGACAAAUCAGCAAGGAGCUGCAAAAAUGAUGACUUUAAAUGAAUGAAGGGACUGGAGGGGAACCCAGCUGAACCUCUGGUUACAAUUAAGCUGGGAGAUGAUAAAGUUGAAUUUUUAGUUGAUACAGGAGCAGUAUAUUCUGUUUUAAAUACUUAUAAAGGGAAAUUGGGAGAUAAGACAGCAACUAUAAUUGGAGCGACUGGGAAACAAGAAAAUAGACCAUUCUUUCAACCCCUUGAUUUAAAAUUUGGAAAUAAGGCAAUUACACAUGAAUUUUUGUAUGUACCAGAAUGUCCGAUACCCUUGUUGGGUCGAGAUCUAUUAUCCAAAUUAAAUGCACAGAUAGUUUUUGAGGGAGGAGAAAUUCUUUUAAGGAUACCAGAAUCAAAAACAGGAGAAAUAUUGGUG